rnacentral:sRNA from 1 species
AUGCAUGUAGAAGACGAGCAGACUGUGGCCAUAAAUGUGGCCAUAAAUGGGUAUACCCAUUUAUGGCCACAGUCUGCUCGUCUUCUACAUGCAU